AUACGGUGAAUACGUUCCCGGACCUUGUACACACCGCCCGUCAAGCCAUGGAAGCUGGGUGUACCUAAAGUCGGUAACCGUAAGGAGCCGCCUAGGGUAAAACUAGUAACUGGGGCUAAGUCGUAACGGAAGGUACC
rnacentral:rRNA from 1 species